GACUUUAUGUUUAAAGAAGUGAUGGAAGAGCAGAAUCAGGAAACAGAAAGAUAGAGCAGUUUCAAAUGCAUACUGAUUAUUUCACAGCCUUCCUUGUCCUGUCAGCCUAUGAAAUAUUAUAGUCUCAGGUACCCGGGAACUGUGAGGACCACAGGAAGUGACCACGUCACAAGGAGGUGCUGAAGGGGAAGGAGGCGCCUGAGAGGAAACGCCGCUGCCCUGCUUUCUCCUGGAGGCAGCCAUGAGCCUCAGCCUCCUGUGCUGGGUGGCUCUUUUUCUCUGGGGAGCAGGCUCCAUGGACACUGAGGUCACCCAGAGUCCCAGUCAUCUGGUCAAAGGAAAAGACCAGAAAGCAAAGAUGGAUUGUGUCCCCAUAAAAGGACAUGUUCAUGUAUACUGGUAUCACAAGAAGCCAGAAGGAGCAUUUGAGUUUUUGGUUUAUUUGUGGAAUGGAAAAAUUACAGAAGAUACAGCCAUGUUCAAACAGCGAUUUUCAGCUGAGUGCCCCCAAAACUCACCCUGCAGCCUGGAAAUCAACUCCACCGAGCCAGCGGACUCAGCUCUGUAUUUCUGUGCCAGCAGCCAGUCCACAGUGCUGCAUGUCAGCUCUUCUUAG